rnacentral:lncRNA from 1 species
CAUGCAGGAAGCAAAUGUUCUCAGGCAGACGCCCGCUGAGGAACCCUCUGAAGGAUGGUUCAGCCCCCCGCACGCAGGAUUAACCAGGAUGGAGCUUCUCAAACCAUGGGAGACAGAACAUAUGCAACAGCCAUCUGAAGACUCUGAGACGUGAACAGUAGCAGGCAGAACUGACCAGAAUUGGAAGUACCACCAAACUGUGAGUUUGCUAUUAUUUUUCCUCUUUAUCCACUAGCUUGGCUUUA